GCAUAGAGAAUGUAGUUGAACCCUCACUGAUGUGACCGCUGUGGAUGUCUCAAUAAGUGCUUUACAUUUUCUGCGUUUAUGUGAGGGCGGUAACCUGCACUGCCAAGAAGGACAGACCCCCCCCCCCCCCCCCCCCCCCCCCCCCCCCCCCCCCCCCCUUACUCGCACAGAUCAACACACAGUUGCAGAGUAAAUGCCAGCCCUGCACCCCUUCCCCCAUACCGAUGCCCAGAGACUGACCGGGGCUACUGUGGACGUAUGCAGAGACACACACACACACACACACACACACACACACACACACACACACACACACACACACACACACACACACACACACACACACACACACACACACACACACACUGUUGAUUGAGGAAUGGACAGACCGAUCGCUGCUGUGAUGGGAAACUGCUGGUUCCUGGAGGGAAGCAGCCACCGACGAGCGAAAGCAGGUCUUGACUUGUAUGGGACGUUUCCUUUGGGACCAGAUACUCGAGCGCAGCCAGAAGAAAAGGAAGGACGACGACACUUUGUUUCGCCUCGGAGUGUACAGAGCGGGGACAGAUGUAGAAUAUCAAAAGCUGAAGAGGCACUCAGCCAUCGGCACUCCAUCCUAGUGUUGCAUGACCCUCUGCAAGUGGACUGUACAUGUUUGAUAUGAUCAUCCUUGUACAAGUGCUUCAUUUUUGAUCAAUCCUUUCUGGACUGUUUCAACACUAAUCUUGUGGAAGAUUAUUUGUCUCUGAAAAAGAAAAUGCCAGUGUCUCUGAUUCAUGGCUCAAGGGUUGUACAGGAAUUUGUGGCUGCAUUUCAAUAUGUUUACUUUUUCGGUGCCUCUUCACGUUUUCGGAUAAGCCAAAGUAGACUGCAGCUGCUUCUGUUCUUGUUGAAAUACUUCAAUUAACCUUAUUUGUUGUUUCUAGAUCGAUAUUUAAGUUUCAGCAGUCCGUCCACUUUGCUAUACCGAGCUGAUGUGUGCAUGUUUUAUCCGCUCCCUCGAGUGAAAUGCAAAAAGGCUGAAGGCUGCUUCCUUCCUUUUUUUACAUUUCAGUAGUGACAGACUGCGCCCCCCAUUUUUAUAAAAGGCUGAAUGAUGUACCAAAACCAUUAUUUAAUUUGUUGUACCCUGAAAAAACCAAAAGAGAUACUGUUGAUCAGUACUAGAAUGUGUCCUCUCCAUUGUGUUAAAUUACCUGAGAAGAAAGAUGAGAAACACGUGAGCUCUUUACACUGGUACUUGGUUAUGUCCCAAUAUAAUUCUCUUUAAUAGCUUUUCUUUUCAUAUGACGUGCUGCAAAAGCAAAGAAAAAGAUACAAUAAUACAGUCUCAUGCUUAAAACAAAUGCAUGUGUAAUGUAUUGUAUGCAUAUUGUUUCAUUUUGAUCGAUUUUCCUUUCACACAAGGCUUUAACUCAAAAAAAUGCUGUUAUAACAAAUUAUUAUUUGUAUUAUACUAUUAUACGGAUUUCAUUUUGCCCCAUUUUGCUUGUUUGUUUGUUUUUAACUUAUUUUAACUUGUAAAAAGUUGUUGAUAUUUAUUAUCAUUGUACAUAUGUCCUUAUUUUUUAUAUGUGUGUAUAUAUAUAUAAAUAUAUGUAUACACAAAUAAAAAUAGAGAUAUAGUUAAGGUGUGUGAGUUU
rnacentral:lncRNA from 1 species